rnacentral:rRNA from 1 species
CCUACGGGAGGCAGCAGUGAGGAAUAUUGGUCAAUGGACGAGAGUCUGAACCAGCCAAGUAGCGUGAAGGAUGACUGCCCUAUGGGUUGUAAACUUCUUUUAUAUGGGAAUAAAAUGUUCCACGUGUGGGAUUUUGUAUGUACUAUAUGAAUAAGGAUCGGCUAACUCCGUGCCAGCAGCCGCGGUAAUACGGAGGAUCCGAGCGUUAUCCGGAUUUAUUGGGUUUAAAGGGAGCGUAGGUGGAUUGUUAAGUCAGUUGUGAAAGUUUGCGGCUCAACCGUAAAAUUGCAGUUGAAACUGGCAGUCUUGAGUACAGUAGAGGUGAGCGGAAGUCGUGGUGUAGCGGUGAAAUGCUUAGAUAUCACGAAGAACUCCGAUUGCGAAGGCAGUUCACUGGACUGCAACUGACACUGAGGCUCGAAAGUGUGGGUAUCAAACAGGAUUAGAUACCCUGGUAGUC